UACGGGGGGAGCAAGCGUUGUUCGGAUUUACUGGGCGUAAAGGGCGCGUAGGCGGCCAGCACAAGUCAGUUGUGAAAUCUCCGAGCUUAACUCGGAAAGGUCAACUGAUACUGUGCGGCUAGAGUGCAGAAGGGGCAACUGGAAUUCUUGGUGUAGCGGUGAAAUGCGUAGAUAUCGUAAGGAAGACCAGUGGCGAAGGCGGGUCUCUGGACAGUUCCUGACGCUGAGGCACGAAGGCCAGGGGAGCAAACGGG
rnacentral:rRNA from 1 species